rnacentral:misc_RNA from 1 species
UCCGGUUUGUCACCGGCAGUCUGGCGUGAGUCCCCAACUUAAUGCUGGCAACACGCCACGAGGGUUGCGCUCGUUGCGGGACUUAACCCAACAUCUCACGACACGAGCUGACGACAGCCAUGCACCACCUGUAUAGAGCCCUUGCGGACCUGCCAUCUCUGACAGUUUUCCCUAUAUGUCAAACCCAGGUAAGGUUCUUCGCGUUGCAUCGAAUUAAAGAACAUGCUCCGCUGCUUGUGCGGGCCCCCGUCAAUUCUUUUGAGUUUUAGCCUUGCGGCCGUACUCCCCAGGCGGGACACUUAACGCGUCAACUGCGGCACAGAGGGAUUCGACUCCCCCCACACCUAGUGUCCAUCGUUUACGGCUAGGACUAC